GCAAGUCUGGUGCCAGCAGCCGCGGUGAUUCCAGCUCCAAUAGCGUAUAUUAAAGUUGUUGCAGUUAAAAAGCUCGUAGUUGAACCUUGGGCCUGGCUGGCCGGUCCGCCUCACCGCGUGCACUGGUCCGGCCGGGCCUUUCCUCCUGGGGAGCCGCAUGCCCUUCACUGGGUGUGUCGGGGAACCAGGACUUUUACUUUGAAAAAAUUAGAGUGUUCAAAGCAGGCCUAUGCUCGAAUACAUUAGCAUGGAAUAAUAGAAUAGGACGUGUGGUUCUAUUUUGUUGGUUUCUAGGACCGCCGUAAUGAUUAAUAGGGAUAGUCGGGGGCAUCAGUAUUCAAUUGUCAGAGGUGAAAUUCUUGGAUUUAUUGAAGACUAACUACUGCGAAAGCAUUUGCCAA
rnacentral:rRNA from 1 species